rnacentral:rRNA from 1 species
UACAGAGGGUGCGAGCGUUAAUCGGAAUUACUGGGCGUAAAGGGCUUGUAGGUGGUUAAUUAAGUCAGAUGUGAAAUCCCAGGGCUCAACCUUGGAACUGCAUUUGAUACUGGUUAACUAGAGUACGGUAGAGGGUGAAGGAAUUUCUGGUGUAGCGGUGAAAUGCGUAGAUAUCAGAAGGAACAUCGAUGGCGAAGGCAUUCACCUGGGCCUGUACUGACACUGAGGAGCGAAAGCGUGGGUAGCGAACAGG